UUUAUUAAAAACAUGGCGUAUUGAAUAUAAUUUUAGGUCUGGCCUGCUCUAUGAUUUAUAAAAAUAUUUAAUGGCCGCGGUAAAUUGACCGUGCAAAGGUAGCAUAAUCAUUAGUUUUUUAAUUGAAAGCUUGUAUGAAAGGUUUGAUGAGAAAGUAACUGUUUCUAUUUAAUUUAUUUCAAAAUUUAUUUUUAAGUUAAAAAGCUUAAAUAUGUAUAAAAGACAAGAAGACCCUAUAGAGUUUAAUAUUUGUUAAAAUAUAAAAUUUUUAGUAUUAAGAGUUUAUUUUAAAGUUUAUUUGGUUGGGGUGAUUAAAAAAUUAAUAAAACUUUUUUUUUAUUUAAUCAUAAUUUUAUGAAUUUUUGAUCCUUAGUUUAAGAUUAAAAGAUAAAAUUACCUUAGGGAUAACAGCGUAAUUUUUUUUUAGAGUUCUUAUUGAAAGAAAAGAUUGCGACCUCGAUGUUGGAUUAAAGGAAAUUAUUGGUGUAGAAGCUAAUAAAUUAGGUCUGUUCGACCUUUAAAAUUUU
rnacentral:rRNA from 1 species